GUUUGAGCCACUGGGAUCUCGUCCAAGGACUCGCCAGACGCCGAGUGAUAGACUUCUGCAGGGCUGGCGUCCGCGGAGUCCGACAACGAGCUGGAGCGGCGGCCGGGGGUCCGGGGCCCUAUGGGGUUGGAAGAGAACUUGCUGAUCCUCGCAGUGACCGUUGGAGCAGCCGACCCAACGCCUGAAAGUGAGGCCGGGAGGUAGCAGGAGUGGCCUGGGCUUGCACCCUAGCACACAGCAUGCGCCCCUGCCGCGCCCGAGAAGACUGCAGGUGAGGAAACAAAAGCCAGAAAAGCGGCCAGAGAUGGGAACCUGGAGGAGGAUGUGGGGCGGGGCCUCGUCCUGGCCCCGCCCCCAUCGAGCUGGGGGCAGGGCACCGGACAGCUGUCGCUGGCUCGACAGUUGUUUCCAUGGAGACCCAGGCGUCCUGACUAAUGCAGAGAAGACACUAUAACAGCAACGCCGUCUCUAAAACAAGCCUAUGUUUGGGGGCAACGGCUCCAGAGUGGGGCCCCUCCCGCAUUCCUGCUCAGGGUGGGGGUGGGGAGGCUGCCUGCAGGACAGCCCUAGCAGGUCUGGGGGACGAGCCCAGCCAGUCAUGGGUUGGCUACACAGAUGCGGAGAAGGAGGCCCCAGGCAAGCCCUGUGUGCAACAUCUGCUCAGGCUGGCCCUUUGGAGAGGACCAAAGCCCAGUCACAAGGACUGGGACAUCAAGGGCACUCUGGCUACAGAGAGAGACAGAAUGGCUGGAGUGAGAGCAUGUGCAGGGAGACCUGUUUGGAGACGAAAUGGUCAUCUAGGUAAGAGAGGCAGCUGGCAGUGGGGAGAAAAGAGGGCAAAUACAAUACCUUUUAGGAGGCAAAAUCAACAGGACCUGAUGACUGACUGGAUAUAGAUGAUGAAGGGAGAGGGUGGAGCCAAGAAUACUGAGCGAGGCCAGGAGGAAGGAAGGCAGGGAGCUGAGAGCAAUAGGAGCGCAUUCGGGCCCCCAGUGAUGUUUGUCUACAUGGCCCUCCUCCUGCACCCACAUUCUGCUGAAUGAGUCCCUGCCCUCUUACUUACCAAGUGAUAAUCUCCACACUACUAGGCUUUCCUCCAGUUGGAAGCUGAGCACCGAGAACUGGGGCCCUGUGUUCUCAUCCUUGCAACCCCAGGGCCCAGGCCAGUUCUAGGCACAAGGUGAGUGCUUGGUACACACAAUUACCCUACUUCAUUCUUCAGGGGCCCUAAGGGAGCCUGCAGAAGGAAGGUAGCUUUGAUGGAAAGACAGAACCAUUCAGGCCAAGAAAUGAGAGUGCAAACCAGGUGGUUCUGUGAGCCUCCAGCAUUACCCAAAGCAGUAAAUAUGGAGAAGACAAAACCCUCAAACCAUCCCACUUGCCUCCGAGUCAGGCUGCCUGGGCAGUCCUUCUGGCCUCACUGGAUACCAGCGAUGUGACCUCAUGAAGUCAUUUAAUCUCUCUAAGCCCCAGUUUCUUUCUUUCUUUUUUUUUUUAAUUAAA